UACGUAGGGGGCUAGCGUUGUCCGGAAUCAUUGGGCGUAAAGAGCGUGUAGGCGGUCCGGUAAGUCCGUUGUGAAAGUCAGGGGCUCAACCCUUGAAUGCCGGCGGAUACUGUCGGGCUAGAGUCCGGAAGAGGCGAGUGGAACUCCUGGUGUAGCGGUGGAAUGCGCAGAUAUCAGGAGGAACACCCAUAGCGAAGGCAGCUCGCUGGGACGGUACUGACGCUAAGGCGCGAAAGCGUGGGGAGCAAACAGG
rnacentral:rRNA from 1 species